UGGAAAAAUACCUUAUCCAUUUUUCCUUCAACAGAGUCGCACUCUGCAUUUCAGGUCUAUCAGCUCCAAUCAUAUGGAGAAGAUUCCAGAGGAAUCCAAUUUUAGAGACUUCUUCCCUGUCAACAGAUGACUGAUCCUGUCUGCUUUUUCAUGAGAUUCUUGGACAGUCAAAGGAGACCGCAUUCAUUUGGCUUGCAUUGGAUUUUCCUCUUCCACUUUUGCCCACCCAACAGAGUUCCUCCCACUCUUCAGGGCAGCAAUUCAAAAUGAUUAGAAGAGCUCUCACUCUCUUUUAAAAACGCUAGUGAAAUCUACAUGAAAUUUACAUUUUCCAGCAAAAUAAUGCUAGGUCCAGUUGGAGGAUGUAUGGAGAGAAUGGGUGGGUAAAAUAGCAUCUCGGCUGCAGCACGAGAAUCUCAUUUAAACAACAACAACAACAGAUAUGGAAACACCCAGUUAAGAGAACCUGGAGAAGGAGAGGCCAACAGGCAAACUGCAAUGCAGGCUGUGGGCUCACUCCUUGCAUGUAAACAGAAAAACACUUGGAGAGCUCUCUCAAGCCCACUGCGCAGAGCAUAGCUCCCAGUUUGGAAGCAGGUGGACUAUAAAUCCCUCUUCAGCAUCUGAAAGCAGCAAUACUGGAAGCAUAAUGGGUACAACAUCACAGCCAGAUGACAUUUUGUUUAAGAAAAGUGCCACAGGUCACAUUGGAAGCAAGGAAAUUGACCGGAGGAAUUAAGAAUGUAUAAACUGGGCAAUCAUUCAUUCAGUUUUGUAAAUAUUGAGGCAUUUAUUGCUAUUAUUUUUGGCCUUCUAAUGAUAUGCUUAGCUCCUGGAUAUUUGACACCCUAUAAAUUCUCCAAUCAUCAAAUAAAGAGCAGUUC